GACAUUUCCGGUAGUUCCAAGACAAGAUAUCAUAGCAGAUAAUCACAAUUCAGUUAAGCAGUCAAAUCAUCUUACUUGGCAUCAAAAUCCAAGUGGAAAUCGACCUAUGGAAUGCAAUGGCACUUGGGGACCAGGAAAGCUGUUAGAUUCUAGUAUCCACCAAUAUCACUCCUCCAUAUCUCAGCGUUCAAUUGGUUCUCCUUCAAGGAAAUCUGUAUCUAGAACUGUAGACACAUGCCGUUCCCUCCCGUUGUCAAUGCUGGAGCAUGGUCAGAAUAAUAAUUCACAUGCUACCUGUCUGGUGGAUUAUCUUGGAACCAAUAUUCAAGAUUAUGUUUGUGAGACUCCAAACCUGCUCUCAGAGGAGAUGAUCAGGUGCAUCUCAUCCAUAUACUGUAAACUGGCAGAUCCACCUUUGAUAGUUCAUGACUACCCUUCCUCUCCUGUUUCAUUCUCUUCAUCACAAACUGAUUUGCCAGCACAAGGCAAGGGUGAGAUGUGGAGCUUCAAUUCAUCUAUUGACAAUCCUUUCCACAUUGGACAGUCUAAGGAACUCAGUGGACCAUACUGCACAAUGGCAACAGUGCAUUGGAUUCAUAGAGAUAGUUAUAAGCUAAAAGAUGUGCAGCAUAAGCUACAAGAUUUUAGGUCACUUGUCUCCCAGUUGGAAGCAGCUGAUCCUAGAAAAUUAAAACAAGAGGAGAAGCUAGCUUUUUGGAUCAAUGUGCAUAAUGCACUAGUUAUGCAUGCAUUUUUGGUUUAUGGGAUCCCAUGCAGUAGUAUGAAAAGAACGUCUUUACUACUCAAGGCUGCAUAUAAUGUGGGUGGUCACACUGUUAACGUAGACAUGAUACAGAAUUCUAUUCUGGGGUGUCACCUUCUUCGUCCAGGACAAUGGUUGCGGCAUCUGUUUUCAUUUAAGCCAAAAUUCAAAGCUGGAGAUCCUAGGAAAUCUUAUUCCAUUGAUCACUCUGAACCUCUCUUACACUUUGCACUUAAUGCAGGACGUUGUUCCGAUCCCGUGGUCCGAGUGUACACUCCCAAGAGAGUGUUUGAGGAUCUGGAGGCUGCAAAGGAAGAGUAUAUUCGGUCAAACUUAAUUAUACAUCAAGAUAAGAAACUCCAUCUACCAAAGCUUGUGGAGUGCUAUGCCAAGGAGCUAGAUCUUUGUCCUGAUGGUUUGCUGGAUAUGAUAGAGCAUUUACUGCCUAAUUCUUUGAGGAAGAGCAUUCAGGAUUGUCAACGCAGAAAACAUGGCAAGAGCAUUGAGUGGAUUCAUCACAACUUCGAAUUCCGCUAUCUCCUUUCAAGAGAACUAGUCUAGUGGUCUUAUCUCUUAUGAAGAUAUGGUUGGGAUUACACAAGUGUUGGAACUAAUGAGCAGUCCUUUUCUUCAAUAUAUUUCUCAGUUCUGGUAGCAAGAUAAGAAUGAGAGGAGAAUCAGAACAAAACUUUGCAGACGAUUAGGUACUGCCAAGUUGAUUUUUGACAUAUUGAAGUGUGCUUCUUGUGAGGAUAAUGAUCAAAUAGGCUGAAGAUCAUUAAGCUUGAAAAAGCUGUUCUGAUACAUCAAGCUCUUAAAAAGACUAGAGCUUGUCUGAUUAAUCAUUCUUAGAGCAGCAUUGUUGUGAUUCAGCUGCCAUUCCCAAUUGUAUUGCUACAAUUUUCAAUCAGUUUCCAUGCAUACAUGAUUAGAAUGGACAUGCUACUUAUUUGUCUAAAAAUAUCCCUAUUUU
rnacentral:misc_RNA from 1 species